CUGGACAGAAAUAAUAUCACCAGGAUUACCAAGAUGGACUUUGCUGGGCUCAAGAACCUCCGAGUCUUGCAUCUGGAAGACAACCAGGUCAGCGUCAUCGAGCGAGGCGCCUUCCAGGAUCUGAAGCAGCUGGAGCGAUUGCGUCUCAACAAGAAUAAGCUUCAGGUCCUUCCAGAAUUGCUUUUCCAGAGCACACCGAAGCUCACCAGACU